GAUGGCUGAGGAAGAGCAAAAUUUCAACUUGACAAUCACAGAUGACUGCUGAAGCAGAUACAACCACUGAGGCAAAAAUCUGAUUGCAAGGAACCUGAACUCCCUGACUUGAACACCUGCAAAGGACAGGGAUUAGGGCCCUUAGGUACACUACUCUGCACCCAGGAGUUACAAAUCACUAACACUCUGAACUGUGACUUUUCUGGCGUCCCAUUCAGAUGAUUUUUAUGAUGUAUGUGGUUUUUAUUUGCUCUGUGGGCUUGCACAAGCCAUCCUAAGACCUUCAUGGUAAAAUUUCAAUCCUGUCUCAAAUUGACAGUUUAAACCCUUAAUAAAGCCUUAUAUUUUAAAGCACACAUACACACACACACAUACAUGUCAGGCCUCUGAACCCAAGCCAAGCCAUCGCAUCCCCUGUGACUUGCAUGUAUAUGCCCAGAUGGCCUGAAGUAACUGAAGAAUCACAAAAGAAGUGAAAACGCCCUGCCCCGCCUUAACUGAUGACAUUCCACCAUUGUGAUUUGUUCCUGCCCCACCUUAGCUGAGUGAUUAACCCUGUGAAUUUCCUUCUCCUGGCUCAGAAGCUCCCCGACUGAGCACCUUGUGACCCCCGCCCCUGCCCACCAGAGAACAACCCCCUUUGACUGUAAUUUUCCAUUACCUUCCCAAAUCCUAUAAAACGGCCCCACCCCUAUCUCCCUUCGCUGACUCUCUUUUCGGACUCAGCCCGCCUGCACCCAGGUGAAAUAGACAGCCAUGUUGCUCACACAAAGCCUGUUUGCUGGUCUCUUCACACUGACUCGAGUGAAAUUUGGUGCCGUGACUAGGAUCGGGGGACCUCCCUUGGGAGAUCAAUCCCCCGUCCUCCUACACUUUGCUCUGUGAGAAAGAUCCACCUACAACCUCAGGUCCUCAGACCAACCAGCCCAAGAAACAUCUCACCAAUUUCAAAUCCGGUAAGCGGCCUCUUUUUACUCUUUUCUCCAGCUUCCCUCACUGUCCCUCAACCUCUUUCUCCUUUCAAUCUUGGUGCCACACUUCAAUCUCUCCCUUCUCUUAAUUUCAAUUCCUUUCAUUUUCUGGUAGAGACAAAGGAGACACGUUUUAUCCGUGGACCCAAAACUCCGGCGCCAGUCACGGACUGGGAAGGCAGCCUUCCCUUGGUGUUAAAUCACUGCAGGGACGCCUCUCUGAUUAUUCACCCAUGUUUCAAAGGUGUCAGACCACGCAGGGACGCCUGCCUUGGUCCUUCACCCUUAGUGGCAAGUCCUGCUUUUCUGGGGAAGGGGCAAGUACCCCAACCCCUUCUCUCUGUGUCUCUACCCCUUCUCUGCUUUUCUGGGGGAGGGGCAAGUACCCCUCAACCCCUUCUCCUUCACCCUUAGUGACAAGUCCUGCUUUUCUAGGAGGCAAGAACCCCCAAUCCCUUAUUUCCACACCCUGACCUCUUAUCUCUGUGCCCCAAUCCCUUAUUUCCACACCCCAACCUCUUAUCUCUGUGCCCCAAUCCCUUAUUUCCGUGCCCCAACCCCCCUUCCCACUUUUCUGGAGGAUAAGAACCCCCGAACCCCUUCCCUCCGUGUCUCUAUGCUCUCUUUUCUCUGGGUUUGCCUCCUUCACUAUGGGCAACCUUCCACCUACCAUUCCUCCUUCUUCUCCUUUAGCCUAUAUUCUUAAGAAUUUAAAACCUCUUCAACUCUCACCUGACCUAAAAUCUAAGCAUCUUAUUUUCUUCUGCAAUGCCACUUGACCCCAAUACAAACUUGACAGUAGUUCCAAAUAGCCAGAAAAUGGCACUUCCAAUUUUUCCAUCCUACAAGAUCUAAAUAAUUCUUUUCGUAAAAUGGGCAAAUGGUCUGAGGUGCCUGACAUCCAGGCAUUCUUUUACACAAUAGUCCCUUCCUAGUCUCUGUGCCCAGUGCAACUUCUCCCAAAUCUUCCUUCUUUCCCUCCUGCCUGUCCCCUCAGUCCCAACCCCAAGCAUCGCUGAGUCUUUCUAAUCUUCCUUUUCUACAGACCCAUCUGACCUCUCCCCUCCUUGCCAGGCCAAGCUACGUCCCAAUUCUUCCUCAGCCUCCGCUCCUCCACCCUGCAAUCUUUUUAUCACCUCCCCUCCUCACACCUGGUCCUGCUUACAGUUUCAUUCUGUGACUAGCCCUCCCCCACCUGCCCAGCAAUUUACUCUUAAAAAAGUGGCUGGAGCCAAAGGCAUAGUCAAGGUUAAUGCUCCUUUUUCUUUAUGCCAAAUCAGAAGUGUUUAGGCUCUUUUUCAUCAAAUAUAAAAACCCAGCCCAGUUCAUGGCUCGUUUGGCAGCAACCCUGAGACGCUUCACAGCCCUAGACCCUAAAAGGUCAAAAGGCCAUCUUAUUCUCAAUAUACAUUUUAUUACCCAAUCUGCUCCUAACAUUAAAUAAAACCCCAAAAAUUGGAAUCUGGUCCUCAAACCCCACAACAGGACUUAAUUAACCUCACCUUCAAGGUGUACAAUAAUAAAAAAAAGUUGCAAUUCCUUGCCUCCACUGUGAGACAAAGCCCAGCCACAUCUCCAGCACACAAGAACUUCCAAACCCCUGAACUGCAGCAGUCAGGCAUUCCUCCAGAACCUCCUCCCCCAGGAGCUUGCUACAAGUGCCAGAAAUCUGACCACCAGGCCAAGGACUGCCGGCAGCCCAGGAUUCCUCCUAAGCCACGUCCCAUCUGUGUGGGACCCCACUGCAAAUCGGACUGUUCAACUCACCUGGCAGCCACUCCCAGAGCCCCUGGAACUCUGGCCCAAGGCUCUCUGACUGACUCCUUCCCAGAUCUUCUCGGCUUAGCGGCUGAAGACUGACACUGCCCGAUUGCCUCGGAAGCCCCCUAGACCAUCAUGGACGCCGAGCUUCAGUGAUAGAUCACAACAAGAGAUCAUGAAGAGGGCAUGGCCGCCAUGUCAUUCUGGAGAGAGACAGAGUAAAACAAAGAAGGUGAUGGAGUCUUGUUCUGCAACCCAGGCUGGAGUGGAGGGCAGUGGUGUGAUCUCGGCUCACUUCAACCUCCGCCUCUUAGGUUCAAGUGAUUCUCCUGCCUCAGCCUCCCGAGUAGCUGGGACUACAGCAGCCUCUCUACAAGUCUCCUAACUUAACCUGAUGGGAAAACACUUCCUACCACUAACAGCAUCUACUUGAUUACUGAUACUUUGAUCAUGGAGUUUGGGCAUGCCACUUGAUAGAAAUUUGAAGAGCAAUUAUAUUUUUCAAAAAGAGUUUUGAAUAAUGUUAAGAUAGAUUGCAACAUGACUAUCAAUUCUUCCCUUCCCAUCAAAGGAGAGAGUCCGUUUAUCCAGCCUUUGAAUCUUGAUUAUUCAUGUGACUUGCUUCACCCAAUGUAACAUUAAUAAGCACAAUACAAGCAGAGGCUUGCCAAGAACUUGGUUUGUUUCUAAUGCUUAGAAGAAGAAUGGUGUAUGCCAUAUUUCUGCAUUUAGAACUCACGUGGAGACAUGUGUGGCCCAAUUGCUUCUCUUUCAUCUCAGGCAAUAACCAGACACGGGACUGAGGCCAUCCAUGACCAGCCAGCCCUAGCCAACACACAACACACAAGCUGAUCACAGAUGCAUGAUGAGAAAUUCCUAAAAAGAUAAGCAGCAUGACAAAGAAGACAAAGGGAAGAUGCCAGACAACCUGGAAAUUGGAUAAUGGAGACCCAGGGAGGGUAUAAAAGAGAAACUACUUUGUAAUAAUUUAUAUUGAUUAUUCCUUUCAAUAGAUUUUGUGGAGUAGUUCAAUAUUCCCAUAAUCCAUUCUUUGUCACCUGAAGGAAAGGUGAAUGAGAUAGCUCAGAAGUUCCAUAACAAGGCAGUGGCAGGUUUGAGACCAUUGCUUUGUGUUUCUUAAUUUACCUGCCUUUUGUGUGUAUGAUGAGGAUUCCUGCCCUCUUAGCCACUAGUAAAAAAAAGAGAUAAAAAGUAUCAAGGUUUUUUUUUACUAUCAAAUUUUCUUUUUUAACUUGGCCAUCUCUGUCACCAAAUACAUUCUUACACAGAUAUAGUCUUAAAAUUUGUACAUAGUACAAAGCUAUCCACAAUAUUUGUGUUGAAUACAACACAUGUAUAUACAAGCAAGAAACUAACAUGAAUAACAAGUGAUGAGCUAAAGAUUCAUUCUCAAUUAGCCUUUUGUUUUUAUAAAGGGUGUGUGGCUGUUUUUCAUGUCAGUGAUCGUUGGUGUGAAACCAAUAUAGAGUCAGGAGAACAUACUCAUUGUAAUCAUACAUAAUUUAGGACUAGAUGAUGCUUUUUCAACUUCAUUGUGUAUAAAAUAGAUUUAAUUAUGUUGAAGAUGAUGUACAGAAAUGAGUUACUUAGUUACUGAAUGAACUAGCCAAAAUUUCAGCAUUCAUAUCUCAUCAACUGUUGCUAUUUAUCAUUCAAACCUUUAGUAACUCUCAGGAAUCUGAACUUUACUGACUUAUGUGAGAAAUGCACAAGCCACAGAAGUAUUCACAAAUUUAGAAAUCUACUAAGCUCUCAGAAUAUGUAUUUGCAAGAUAAGGUGAACUUUUAUCCCCUGGGACAAACCUGUGUUACACUGAUUGACUCAGCAUUAUAAUUAGUAGUGCCCUUUCACUAUUGAUAUGCUCUUUAUUAGAUGAUGGAUUAAAUGGCUUUCUGGGUCAUUGAUUACAAGAUUCUAUCUUAUAACCAUAUUUUAAUAUUAAAUAUUUAUCAAGAUGUUCAUGUACUAUAUCAGCAAAAAAUUACUAAAUGUAUAUAAGGUGGUUUUGACCUUGCCACUCAAUUAUUUACUAAAAGACUAAGAUGCUCUCUCAAGUAAAUACCUCGCUUUGGUAAAGUUCCAUUACUAAAACUCUCAAGUAUCUGAACUUUUCAUUAUGCUUCCCUAUACUUCUUUUUCAAUCCAGUUUGUCAGUGCCUGUUCAUAGCCUAAUAGAGCAGUUCUCACAGUAUUAGGGGUCAUCAACACUCUGUCAGUGCGUACACGACUAUUUUUAAAAUAAACUAAAAUGCUGUUUGUCUUUUUCACUCUUAUUCUCUAAUGAGUGUCUGGUACAGUUUUCCAGAGGUUACAUGAUGUGUGAUGAUAUCAUCACUCUGAUAGCUAAUGGAAAGUAUGACUGUAUAUUCUGUAAUGUUCCAGGAGUUUCUGAGGUUUAGGUUUAGGUUAUAAAAGGGGGCAUAUGUUCAGAGAUUAACUCAAUUUUUUCUCAGUACUUCUAUUGUGUUUUUACUAAGUACCUUUUCUUAUAUUUGCUAUAAUCUGUAUAAACUUAUUGUCAUACAAUAAAUCAAUAUUUUAAAAUCCCAAUGAUUUCUUUAUGACUACACAAAAACAAGUAGUAAUC
rnacentral:lncRNA from 1 species